rnacentral:rRNA from 1 species
AUUGAACGCUGGCGGCAGGCCUAACACAUGCAAGUCGAGCGAGAGGCGGAGGUGUGAGUAAUGCCUGGGAAUUGCCCAGUCGGGGGGGAAAACAGUUGGAAACGACUGCUAAUACCGCAUACUAUUGGGUUGCCGAGGGGGGGUUCGCUAGUUGGUAGGGUAAUGGCGUACCAAGGCGACGAUCCCUAGCUUGUCUGAGAGGAGGACCGGCUACACGGGACCGUAGACCCGGUCCAGACUCCUACGGAAGGCAGCAGUGGGGAAUAUUGCGCAAGGGGGGAAAUCCUGAUGCGGCCAUGCCGCGUGUUUGAGGAAGGCCUUCGGGUUGUAAAGCACUUUCAGCGAGGAGGCGUUACUCGCAGAAGAAGCACCGGCUAACUCCGUGCCAGCAGCCGCGGUAAUUC